AGGUGCAUAGCUCAAUGGUAGAGUACCGGUUUCCAAAACCGUAGGUUGAGGGUUCAAAUCCUUCUGUGCCUGC
rnacentral:tRNA from 1 species